rnacentral:sRNA from 2 species
ACCUGUCAACUUAGGGAUCAGAGGAGUUUAUGUAGCCAUCAACGUCCGCUCCUUGAAGAAGAUCACUUCAGAUUCCGCAUUUCCAUCCUGUAAAUCCUUAAUCAAUUAAUUGAUUUGGAUACCGGUGGUACCGAAAAAGGCUCCGGAUCUUCAAUACUCAGCCCAAAUUGAUUUUAACUGCUUGAAUUCACGAUGGACCACGACACCGAAAAUACCCCCCUUCUCAGCAAUUCCGAUGCUGGCCCUCCUGAUGUAAACGAACAAACUUACGUUACAUUGUCGCGCAACCCAGCUGCAGCAAUCUUCCAUCGUACAACUGUUGCCUUAACAUGGCUUUCUAUCGGUCUCUCAGUCUCAACCUUCGCUUUUGUGUUUGCCGUUAUGAUAAUAUAUCAGAUCUGGCAUGGCUCCAAUUUGAACUCGAUAACUAGAGAGAGUUGUGCCUGGUUGAUGUUACUGGGAAUGGCCACGGCUUUGAUCAGCUUCCUAAAUUUAGUCUGCCUGUAUGUUCGCCGGAAAGCAAUGCCACUCGUUCUCAACCUGGUUAUCGACCCCAUUGUUAUUUUCUACUCUUUUGGCUGGAGCGUCACUGGCCUAGUUGAAAAUUCUCCCUGGUGUGAACCUGAGUGCGAUGGUACCACCAAAUGGAUCCAACUUUUGGCCGGUAUUGGGCUAAGCUUUGCAUUGGGAUUAGGACUCACCCAUCUGGCUUUAUUCCUGAUGCGAUGUGUCCUUGCGGUCCGCUGGGUUUUUGAGCAGAGGCGCAACAGUUCAGGACCAUUUCUUCGUAUCCCGACUGGGCAAUUCACGGUGGAAUUCACAAUUAGAUUAUUGAGGCAGGAUAAUGCUGUUGUACCCCAAUCCGCGGAUGGAGAUCAGAGAAACGAAAAUAUCACGGA